CGUGCACGAACUUCCGGAUGGUCAGGGAUUAGUUGAAAAAGGGACCUUCCCCUAACUAGAAAAGGGCGCUCCCUGCUAUGAUUUCUUUCCCCGAUUUUGACUAAAAGGAUGCUGUUGACUGGAAGAAGAGAAGGCACAGGGUAUGAAGCAUCUCCCCCCCCCCCCGCCCCCCGUACAUGUCCCUACCAAUUACUCUCUCUCAUUACCCUUACCAUUAUCACAUCAUUCUCAUAUGCCUUCUUUUCUCCUGACCCUAUUCCUCUUACCUUUUCUCUUCCUCCUGCUCUGGUGUUGGUAGAAACCUUCCAUUAAAGAGGUCUUAGUGAAAGGCUCGCACAAAAUGUUAUAACUGGCCAAAAUAUUUGCCGAAAAUGCUUUUAAGAAAAAAAAAAAAAAAGAAAAUUAGGAAGAGAGUAAACCUCACCUUCUCACUUUGGCAAAGGUAAGACCCCUAACAGGGCGGCCGAACCAUCAGUCACCCCAGAGCGCUCGAGGGAGGAAGGUGUGUGCUGCUCUGUGCCGGGGAAGUAGCAUGUGUCUGUGUAAAUUAUUUCCGACGGAGUUUGUUUAAUGGACUUCUGAAGCGGAAGUGAACUUUCGUGAUUUUUAAUGGAAGUUAUUUCUCCCCCGAUUUGCGAUUCUCUUGGCAGUUUCAAGGUUUAAGGUGAGGAGGAUUUACCCAAAAAAAGAAAGAGAAAAGGAAGAUAAGAUAAAUAAGAUAAUUAUCAGAAACAGAUAAAAAAAAAACAGAAAAUUUCAGAGAUCGUAAACACAUUCCGUUUUACAAGUGUUCGCGGAAAUGGUUCCCUAAAGACUAAUACAUGAUAGCUUUGGCCGCCCAGUGCGAGUGUGAGUAGAGGAAACAGGAGAUAAGAAAAG